GAAAAUUUUGGAGUUUCUCCAAACACACCGUGUGCACUGUUUGCUGUCUCUGGCAGGACCAGGGCCUUAGCGCCCCCCUGCCGAAGGUGCGUCCCCUCGUGGGGCGCGUCCUAUUGAACAACACCAUGCCUUGAAUCUUUGUCUGAGUUUUCUUCACCUCGUGUGAGAAAUAAAAA
rnacentral:misc_RNA from 1 species